rnacentral:rRNA from 1 species
ACCGCAAGGUUUUGAUUUGAAAGGCGCUUUCGGGUGUCGCUGAUGGAUGGACCCGCGGUGCAUUAGCUAGUUGGUGAGGUAACGGCUCACCAAGGCCACGAUGCAUAGCCGACCUGAGAGGGUGAUCGGCCACAUUGGGACUGAGACACGGCCCAAACUCCUACGGGAGGCAGCAGUAGGGAAUCUUCGGCAAUGGACGAAAGUCUGACCGAGCAACGCCGCGUGAGUGAAGAAGGUUUUCGGAUCGUAAAACUCUGUUGUUAGAGAAGAACAAGGAUGAGAGUAACUGUUCAUCCCUUGACGGUAUCUAACCAGAAAGCCACGGCUAACUACGUGCCAGCAGCCGCGGUAAUACGUAGGUGGCAAGCGUUGUCCGGAUUUAUUGGGCGUAAAGCGAGCGCAGGCGGUUUCUUAAGUCUGAUGUGAAAGCCCCCGGCUCAACCGGGGAGGGUCAUUGGAAACUGGGAGACUUGAGUGCAGAAGAGGAGAGUGGAAUUCCAUGUGUAGCGGUGAAAUGCGUAGAUAUAUGGAGGAACACCAGUGGCGAAGGCGGCUCUCUGGUCUGUAACUGACGCUGAGGCUCGAAAGCGUGGGGAGCAAACAGGAUUAGAUACCCUGGUAGUCCACGCCGUAAACGAUGAGUGCUAAGUGUUGGAGGGUUUCCGCCCUUCAGUGCUGCAGCUAACGCAUUAAGCACUCCGCCUGGGGAGUACGACCGCAAGGUUGAAACUCAAAGGAAUUGACGGGGGCCCGCACAAGCGGUGGAGCAUGUGGUUUAAUUCGAAGCAACGCGAAGAACCUUACCAGGUCUUGACAUCCUUUGACCACUCUAGAGAUAGAGCUUCCCCUUCGGGGGCAAAGUGACAGGUGGUGCAUGGUUGUCGUCAGCUCGUGUCGUGAGAUGUUGGGUUAAGUCCCGCAACGAGCGCAACCCUUAUUGUUAGUUGCCAUCAUUCAGUUGGGCACUCUAGCAAGACUGCCGGUGACAAACCGGAGGAAGGUGGGGAUGACGUCAAAUCAUCAUGCCCCUUAUGACCUGGGCUACACACGUGCUACAAUGGGAAGUACAACGAGUUGCGAAGUCGCGAGGCUAAGCUAAUCUCUUAAAGCUUCUCUCAGUUCGGAUUGC